CCAGAAGGUAGAAAACAAAAACUAUGAAUGUCUGAAAUUUUCAAAUUUAAUUUAUUUAAAAUAAAUCCAUAUAUAUGAUAAAGAUAAUUCAUGUAACACUCAAGUUCAUUCUAAACACUGCUUUAGAUUUAGUGGAUCUUAUUAGAGUACAAAGGAUUGGAAUUUGUAUAUAACUGUGACAAAAUAAAAGAUUACAAUUCAAUUAAACAAAUACAGAUUGAAUUCUUAGUAUAAGUUAAAAAUAAUGCAAGGUGGGAAUACAAAUAUAAAUUGUUUUUGACAACACGUUUCAAAUAUUGGAAUAAAAAGUCUUUAUUGUGCUUAUGUAGAAGAAAACACUCAAUUGAAAUAUAUUUAAUUGUAAAUGUUGGAUGACUAUGGGGUUAAAACAUACUUCAAAUAACUAAGAUGGCUUUAGCUCAUCUUUAGUGCUUUGUGUGGACUAUUAUUUUCUGAAAGUAAAAUCUCAUCAAAUUUAUAUGUAUAUGUGAGUAAAUGCAUAUAUGUAUAAUUAUAUAUCGUGUGUACAUAUGUGUGUAUAUAUAAAUAUCCAUGUAUUUAUAAAGUCUCCAAAUUGUUGUAGUUUAGGGUACAAACACAUACCAUACAUAUAUUUUUCACCAGCUGUGUUCCAUGAGUGUCAGAAUUGAUAUUUCAUAAAAUGUUCCCUCUCUACCACAACUUUAUUGUAUUCUUCCUCCCCUGACCCCUCCAGGAAACAUUUAGAAGCAAAAAUCCUAUUACAUAUUGUUAUUGUUUUUUAACCUGUGUCUUAUGAAGUAAUAGACAAUGAAAUUAUAUCUAAUCCCCAGCCCAAAUAACUCCUGGAGAAGAUUAUGUACGUACCUUGUGCAAAGGUUAGUUCGUUGUUUCAACAUUUUAAGCAACUAUAUUCACAGUUAAAAAAGAGUAGUGUCUGAUAAAUGUUUAUUUAAAAUAUGCCUCCAAACUGAACUACGUGUUUAUUUGAAACAUGCCUCCAAAUUGAGCUGGAACCUUGAAAUGAUAGGUCGCCUUCAGAAGUGUUUACCCAAAUUCCCGGAUCUUUCAGACUGUGUCUGUACUGAGCUGCUGUCUCAAGUAACUUGUUCAAAUAGGCCCUGUCAUACCUUUCUAUGUUGCUCCAACAAAAAUAUUUUCAAGAGCAAGGAACUUUUUUUCUUGCAAGAAUAUUUCUACACAUUGAAAAGUUUAUUUCAAUAAUUCUGCCUUUUGGAACUAAAUAAGCUGUGAAACUGAAGAAGUAAAAUACUUAAAUAUUUGCUGGUUUUAGCUAUAUACUAUCAAUUCCAUUUUUGAAAAGUUCCCUUAGUAGGGUCUCCCACACUAUCAGCUCUAACCCUUAAAAAGUCUGACAACAACAUAGAAUUUAAAAUACAGGUGAGAAAAAAAGAUGGUUAACCUGAUUUGAGAUCUCUGUUAGAGUUGCGUGAAUUCCAGUGGGCCCUUAUUGCAUUGAGAUGAUGGUGAUACAGCACGGGUUUUAGAAUCAAACAGGUAGAUUCAAAUCCUAGCUCUGAUAGUCAUUAGCCAUGUGCCCUUGGGCUGUUCACUUCAUUUCUAGUAGUCUCAUAUGCAAAUUAGGGUAAGUAAUACCUACAUGAUAGGAUUGUUGUAAAGUUAAAUUAGAUCCUACACAUAAAACACCUGUCAUAUGGGGACACUUAAAAAAUACUGACAUUCUCUUUUUCCUUUUUCAGUGAAUAAUUAGGGGAGGGGGAUGGGAGCAAUCAAAAAACCUUAGAAAUACUCACUGUAUAAUUUUGGCUUUUUUUCCUUUUUAAAAAAUAAUAUUGGACAAUUUGUGAAGAUGGUUCCAAGGAAGGCAGGGUAACAUCCAUGCCUUUCGUUUACUUUAUUUUUGGUAGAAAUCACAUGACUAUAAAAUAGACAGCACUUACAGAGGCAGAGAUUUGAAAUUAAAUGAAGAAUGGAUGAAUGUGAUUGCACUGAAAUAUUUUAUGUUUCUAAAAUGUCAAGAGCACGUUUGCACACAAUCCCAUCAACAGCAUUAUGGGUCUGCAGUAACACAUGGAUAUUUGAGGUGGAGCCAGGUGUAUUGCUGGGCUUGGCAUAGGCAUAAACUGCAAACCACCCUUGGGUAACUUAAGCCUCCGUGUUUCCCUGUCAUCUGAUAGGCCUCCUGACAGAAUGCUGGGGGUGGAUGGUGUUGACACCAGAAGAGCUAAGAAAAAUAAAGACAAACCUCUAGGCAUUGUCAUAGUUUCUUCCCAUUGCACGGCAGCCUACACAAAUUUGAUAUUCACUCAUUGAACAAAUAUUGAUUAAGCACCAACUUUGUGCCAGACUCUCUACGGUUACUAGCUGGAAUGUAGCAGUAAACAAAACUGAUACUGUUCUUGCCAUCAUAGAACAUGCAGACGUCAAUGGAAGAUAUCUAAAUUAUCUGAUGCCAAUGAUGCUUUUGCAAAAAGACGUUAUAUAAAUAUGUAGCCAAAACUAUCACUUAGAGUAAGUAAGUAAAAUAAAUCAAAAGAAUUAGAACAGUUGAAAGAUUUUCUGAAUAUAAAACUUCUAUAUAAUGAGUCUCCUAUUUGAGUAAUUCUAAAAAGCCUGAUGAUCACCAUUUGUUUAGAAUUUACCUUUUAUAGAAACCUGAUUUCAAGAAUCUCUUCAGGAAGAUUCUAUGCAUGAGAAUCAUUUUAAGUUGGCCUUUUAAAGGUAAAAUAUCUAGUUAAUUUAUCAAGGUGUAAUGUAUCUGAUGUUUCUGACUUUUGGUCUUAGCCAUUGAAUUGUCAAGCCUAUUAACUGACUUCAAAAUACAUGACCUCAGAUUCAAAAUGAUGGAAUGCAGCCCGUAAAAUUAAGAAAGAUGAUAUGAAGAAUAUUUAACUGUGUUAGCAACUAGUAUAGUGUCUUUCUGGGCAGAAUAGGAUCAAUACAUAUUGAUGGACUCUUUCUUUGGAUGUAAUUCACAGCUUCACUCAGCCGCUUUUUGCCAGUCUCUGAAAGGGCCUUGGUUGGCUUUUGUGCACGUCCAGUCAUUUCUUGGAGUUCUAAAAUGUUCCUUUUCCCUUCCACAUUGCCUAAGAAGAAGAAGAAAAUUAUAUUUGCAUAGAUGCAUGCCUGUGUUGUCAGCAUAAAGUCUUUACAGAUGUCUUUUUUCAAUCAGAAAGAAGUAAUUUUCUAUAUUAUUUCCAAAAUCAAGAACUCUCCUUUUCGUAAAAGUAAUUUCAAUUACCAUAUAGCCAUGGUUUGAAUUUAAAUAUGAAAACUUGUUUGCUUCUAAG
rnacentral:lncRNA from 1 species